ensembl:lncRNA
AAAAGGAGUUAAGCCAAAAACCCAGUGGAGCAAUGGGCUGGUCCCUUGCCAUGUCCUUUCUGCUUUACUGACACUCAGAGGAGCCCUUCCCCAGCCCCGGGUGUAACCCACUCAGAGCCGGAUGGGCUAGAUAAUGGGAGCUGGGGUUGGGUGGGCUGAAAUGGAAGGACAAGUCCAUGGCCUGUGUGGAUUUUUAGGACAAUCGAUGGGAGUUUGGGGUUUCUGCCUGGGAAAAUCUUCACCCUCUCCAAGGGUUGAUUCAACAGCAUAUAUGACAGCAGAGGAGUGCUAACACUGCCAACAUCCUUUGUGAGCUGAAUCUGACCAGAUUUCUGUGCUGACCAAUAUCACUGAAUUUAGAAUGAUGGGACCCCUGGUCUUUGCCAUCUUCUUGCUACUGCUUUCAGGGACCAUAAUGUCCCCAAAACCAAGAAAAUGGUGUGAUUCUCUGGAAUAUCAGGACUUUGCUUUUUCAGAUCCCAAAACUGGGAACUCUGAAUUCUCAACCAAUGUCAUCUUCAACAAAGAAUUAGUCUACAUAUAUAUGAACUACUAUCAGAGGGCAAAACCUCAACUAGGAUGGGAAAAUGUGGAGAACUGGGAUGAGGUGAGCCAGCUUCAAAAAGAGAGACAAGAUUUGAUGAUGAAACACUUUCAAGAAUUCAUAAACUCAAAAGAAGAUAAUGAAAAUUUAUAUUUCUUUAAACAAGGUUUUGGCUGUUCACUUUGUCCAAAUCGCACUUUCAAGAUAACUUCGUAUUGGGAUUGGAAUACAAGUGGUAUCCAGGGUAUCUUUAAGCAUACAAAGUACCAGUUAACAAAAGAUUCUGAAGCUAAAAUGAACCAAGACCCAGGUGCUGUAACUCUACCCGAAGAAUAUCUGGAGAAACAGUGUUUUGCAACACUCCAAAAAUACCGGAAUUAUAGGAAUGCUCACUAGGACAAACCAGGACAAGAUAUACACAAAAGAGCCAUUGCAUAGGGCCAAAGAAAAGCCAACCCAGGAUGGAUUGAUGCACUACUAAGCCAAUACAAAGGUCUUGAACCUAGUGUGAAGACUCGAGGUUACUGUGUUUAACAUUGUUAAGACAUAGGCUUUCCUUGUGUCCACACUCACUCUGAAAAUAUUUACAGAUGAGUAUCCCCAAUCUUGGCUCCUACUUGGCUUCUAUAAUCUGGUUCCUUUUUUCUGUCUUUCACAGUGUGGUAAUUUUCUGUAGUCCCAGCUGGGUAAAUGCAUCAUUGCUUCGAUCAUUUUAAUUGGGCCCUGAUUCAAGGACCUGUUAUAGAUAUAUUUUUCUUUUAUUUGGAAUUUUUACACAUAAGACUUUGAUAGUCUAUAUUUGCAUCCAGAAAUUUUUCUUUUUUCUUUGGAUUGUUCUGAUGUCUUUUUAAUUUCUCUUACCAAUUGGCUCAUAUACCUCAUACCUCAGCCAUGCAUCCAUAAGUGAUCCUGUGUUUUUUUUUUUCCAAUCACCCACAACACAAGGGAAAUGUAAAAAAUGUUAUUUAAAUUGCAAAGUUUAAACUCCUUUUGAGAAGAAUUUCAGGAAAAGAAAGAUACUACCUCUCUGAAUCCAGAAACUAAAAUGUUGGAGAAGAAACCAUGAAGAAGCCUCCAGACCACAAGCUGCACAAGAAUGAACUUUGGGUGUAAUUGAUUGAAUUUUUUGAAAAUAAUUGAUUGAACUUGAUUGAAUUGAUUGAUUUGUAGUAUACUUUCAUGCCAAAGGGGACUUCCCCCUAACUGGCUUUUUGUCAAUGUGUCCAGCAAUUAUUGGUUCUGUCCUUUUUUUCUCUUAUCCUCAAAUUAUUGUAAUCUUUAAGUUGAUUAUAUUUUCAUGAUCCUUUUGGGGAAAAUAUUUUUUUUCAAAAAUGAUCACACGGGAAAAUUUAAAAAUGGAGACUUGAACCCAGGACUCCAGUCCCCAGAAGUCCUUGCUCACUUCCCAGAAUGCUUUGUAAUUCCACUGAAUCUUUACCUGGACGAGAUCACAAAUUAUUAUUUAAAGAAGUUCUCCACCUACUGCAGGGCUCUUUUUUCUACUUCUGCUUCUGCUUUAGGGAACACAAGGCUCUCCACCUAGCAGGAAAUAUGUUAGCAAUCGUGAAUAGGCUCUCUGGGCCUAGACAUGUGCUUUUUUUACUAGUAUUUUCUUAAAUUCCUUAUCUUAAAUAAAACUCUAAAAAUAUAAUACUCCUUGCA